rnacentral:rRNA from 1 species
CUCCGGUUGAUCGCAUGGUCUUCUGGGAAAGCUUUCGCGGUAUGGGAUGGGGUCGCGUCCUAUCAGCUUGACGGCGGGGUAACGGCCCACCGUGGCUUCGACGGGUAGCCGGCCUGAGAGGGCGACCGGCCACAUUGGGACUGAGAUACGGCCCAGACUCCUACGGGAGGCAGCAGUGGGGAAUAUUGCACAAUGGGCGCAAGCCUGAUGCAGCGACGCCGCGUGAGGGAUGGAGGCCUUCGGGUUGUAAACCUCUUUUAUCGGGGAGCAAGCGAGAGUGAGUUUACCCGUUGAAUAAGCACCGGCUAACUACGUGCCAGCAGCCGCGGUAAUACGUAGGGUGCAAGCGUUAUCCGGAAUUAUUGGGCGUAAAGGGCUCGUAGGCGGUUCGCCGCGUCCGGUGUGAAAGUCCAUCGCUUAACGGUGGAUCCGCGCCGGGUACGGGCGGG